AUGAGUAGAUCUCAAGAAGCUUACAAAAUAAACCGAAAAUGUGUUGAGCUAGUCCUUUAGUUACCUCGACAGUUGGUUAGAUAUGACAUGAAGAAUGGCUUUGAUGUUUAGUUGUUUUUGAAGAUGUUUAGAUCUUCACCUCUGCAAACUGCUCUGUUUCAUAUUUCACUGCAUAAAAAGUUAUGCUUUUAAGUAUUAAAUUAUUAUGUGUUUAUUUGUAGGGAGAUCUUCGACAAUAUCUAGACCGGAAAGGACCUCUAAUGCCAGCGCACGCAGUAAAAUUCGCCCUUGAAAUUGCUAGGUUAAGUGGCUAUUUUCUGUACUUUUAUAAUUUUAUCAUUGUCAUGCAGGUUCAUAUUUAUGCAUGACCGGUGGCAAUGAUACAUGAAUUCUGAAUAGCUCUAUGGUAUCCCUUCAUAUAUUUGCAGGGGAAUGAAUUAUUUGCACGAGCAUAAACCUGAAGCAAUAAUCCAUUGCGACCUAGAACCUCCGUAUGUUAUUCCUCUUGACUGUAUCAGUAUAAUUUAUUUCAUUACACAAUUUUUUCUAUUGUACUAUGUUUCAUAUAUCCAAAAAAUCCAAAAGGUUCUCAUUUGUUCGAGUAAGAGAACAGAAACAUACUGAGGGAUGAUUCGGGACAUCUGAAAGUUGCAGACUUUGGAGUCAGCAAGCUACUGGUAGUUAAGAAGACAGUUAAAAAAGACAGACCUGCUACAUCAUUGGACAGUUCUUGUAAGUUCUCUUACCUGAUAAUCUAAUAUUGGUGCUCUGUCAGAGUUGUGAUGUUGCUGUCUUGAGCUAGCUUAGAGCUGUUAGCUUUAGUGUUUUAUUAUCUAAAGCUAGACUGAAACCAAUCUGAUGGUUGUUUUGGAUGGGUUUAUGCUGAUGAUACUCUCUGUUGUCGUUCUGGCUAAACAGGGCGGUACAUGGCUCCAGAAGUUUACAGAAACGAAGAGUAUGAUACGAAAGUAGAUGUAUUUUCUUUUGCUUUGAUCUUGCAAGAGGUAAAGCAACCGAGAGAGCUAUGAGACUUCUUAAUAAAGUAUUGUGUGUUACACCAUUAAUCUCAAGUAUGAUGUUCAGAGUGUUAACAAAAUUAACAGAUGAUAGAAGGAUGUGAACCAUUUCAUGAGAUAGAAGAAAGCGAAGUUCCUAAAGCAUAUAUUGAAGACGAACGUCCACCAUUCAAUGCACCAACAAAAUCAUAUCCUUUCGGGUUAAGAGAGUAAGUGUUUCGAAAAAGGGUCCUGUUUUUGAAACAACAUUCAUUCAUUCAUGGAUCCUCUCUGAGAGUCUUAAAAUCUCUCUCUAUUUGCCAGGCUAAUCCAGGAUUGUUGGGACAAAGAAGCAUCAAAAAGACCAACGUUUAGAGAAAUCAUCUCUACUUUGGAGUUGAUAAGUGAUCGAUUUGCAAGCAAAAGGAGCUGGAAGGUUGUUGUUACUCAAUUCUUUCUCUCACAGACACACACUCCCUUUAAUAUUUAAAGUUUCUGAGACGGUUUGAUUACUGAUUACGAAACAGGUGAUGCUAGGAAGAUGCAUACCAAGAAUCAGAUUGUUUACAAAGCGAGAUUAUGUGAAUCCUGGAAGUAACCGUUCAUCACGCUCAUUCGCGAGAUGACGGACUCCAAGAGCUUUGGGUUUGUUUUUCUUUAAUUGCCUGAGGAAAACAAUGUCAAAUUCUUUUUAGGUCUUUGUAUCUAUAUGACAUCAUGACUGUUUUUUUCUUAACCAGAAUGAAUAUGGUGGUGUGUAUAAUAAUUAUUACGCAGUGGAGAAAUAAAAUAAUGAGAUCUCUGAGCU
rnacentral:lncRNA from 1 species